GAUGAACGCUGGCGGCGUGCCUAAUACAUGCAAGUCGAGCGAACGGACGAGAAGCUUGCUUCUCUGAUGUUAGCGGCGGACGGGUGAGUAACACGUGGAUAACCUACCUAUAAGACUGGGAUAACUUCGGGAAACCGGAGCUAAUACCGGAUAAUAUUUUGAACCGCAUGGUUCACAAGUGAAAGACGGUCUUGCUGUCACUUAUAGAUGGAUCCGCGGUGCAUUAGCUAGUUGGUAAGGUAACGGCUUACCAAGGCAACGAUGCAUAGCCGACCUGAGAGGGUGAUCGGCCACCCUGGAACUGAGACACGGUCCCGACUCCUACGGGAGGCAGCAGUAGGGAAUCUUCCGCAAUGGGCGAAAGCCUGACGGAGCAACGCCGCGUGAGUGAUGAAGGUGUUCGGAUCGUAAAACUCUGUUAUUAGGGAAGAACAUAUGUGUAAGUAACUGUGCACAUCUUGACGGUACCUAAUCAGAAAGCCACGGCUAACUACGUG
rnacentral:rRNA from 1 species